GAAAUAUCUUAUAAUUAAGCUGCUAACUUAAUUGUUAGUGGUUAAUCCCAUUA
rnacentral:tRNA from 1 species